rnacentral:rRNA from 1 species
GAUGAACGCUAGCGACAGGCUUAACACAUGCAAGUCGAGGGGCAGCGGGGUAGGAAGCUUGCUUUCUGCCGCCGGCGACCGGCGCACGGGUGAGUAACACGUAUGCAACCUGGCCGUGACAGAUGGAUAACCGGGAGAAAUCCCGCCUAAUACAACAUAAUGCCGGGAGGGGACAUCCCCUGCCGGUCAAAGGGGGCGACCCCGGUCAUGGAUGGGCAUGCGGCGCAGUAGGUAGUGGGUGGGGCAACGGCCCACCAAGCCGACGAUGCGUAGGGGUUCUGAGAGGAAGGUCCCCCACAUUGGAACUGAGACACGGUCCAA